rnacentral:rRNA from 1 species
GUAUGCACUUAAGGAAAGAUUAAAAGGAGUAAAAGGAACUCGGCAAACACAAACCCCGCCUGUUUACCAAAAACAUCACCUCCAGCAUUUCUAGUAUUGGAGGCACUGCCUGCCCGGUGACACUUGUUUAACGGCCGCGGUAUCCUGACCGUGCAAAGGUAGCAUAAUCAUUUGUUCUCUAAAUAGGGACUUGUAUGAAUGGCCACACGAGGGUUUAACUGUCUCUUACUCCCAAUCAGUGAAAUUGACCUUCCCGUGAAGAGGCGGGAAUACCAUAAUAAGACGAGAAGACCCUAUGGAGCUUUAAUUAACUAACCCAAACUUAUGGAUACUAAAUACCUAUAAGGCAUAACAUAACACCAUCAUUAUGGGUUAGCAAUUUAGGUUGGGGUGACCUCGGAAUAUAAAAAAACUCCCGAGUGAUUAAAAUCUAGACCCACAAGUCAAAAUGUAACAUCACUUAUUGAUCCAAUAACUUUUGAUCAACGGAACAAGUUACCCUAGGGAUAACAGCGCAAUCCUAUUCAAGAGUCCAUAUCGACAAUAGGGUUUACGACCUCGAUGUUGGAUCAGGACAUCCUAAUGGUGCAGCAGCUAUUAAGGGUUCGUUUGUUCAACGAUUAAAGUCCUACGUGAUCUGAGUUCAGACCGGAGUAAUCCAGGUCGGUUUCUAUCUAUUAUAUAACCUCCCCCAGUACGAAAGGACAAGGGAUGUAAGGCCUACCUCACAAAGGCGCCUUAAAACUAAUAGAUGAAGUCAACUCAAUCUAACCAGUUUAUCUCCUCAUAUGCCCAAGAAAGAGGGCUUU